GUGCUUGCUUUGGCAGCACAUAUACUAAAACUGGAAUGGUACAGAGAAGAUUGGCAUGGCCCCUGCACAAGGAUGACAUGCAAAUUCGUGAAGCGUUCCAUGUUUUU
rnacentral:snRNA from 1 species